rnacentral:rRNA from 1 species
GCCAGCAGCCAUAUCAUCCUGCAUCUCACAACUGGCAAACCACUGAAGCUUAGCAGGUGUGAGGCUGGUCAGUACCUGGAUGGGAGGCCUCCUGGGAAAGGUUUCUGCUGGAA